AAAGAUUUUUAUAUAGUAUGACAGUUGGCAGAGAGACUGUGAUGAAUAAGAUUACAGGCAGAAAACUUUCUGUGAUUAAAAGGAAAAGAACAAGAAAGGGACGAACCUUGAAAGUCAUCCAAAAACAGCGGUCGAUUCAGCUGAAACAACAGAGAAACUUCUUGAGAAAAGUGCCAAACAGCAUCUAGCAAUAGCAUAAAGAUUCACACAGGGUCAAUCCACGUCUUGCCUUCCAGCAGGAUUUAGAUGAGUUUCAACUGAAGUUUGAAAGCACAUUUUGCAACGAAGAGAUAAGCAGCAACAACCACUACUUUUAUCUUUAAGGGAAUUGAGGGGGGCAUGGGGCACUCUCGAUGAUAGGCUUUACCGAAAGCUGUGUGGCAUCAUUACAUUGCCGUUCCAGACACCUUUUGGAGAGAUUCCUAUGCAGGAGGGGGAAUCUUAAAAUUUAUGUUAAAGCUGCAGUUUAUAUAUAUUUAUCUGACACAACUGGGUUGUUGCUGUUACACGCCUGAACCACCUGAACUUUAAUUAACUGCAAUUAACCCUGCAUUAGUUUGUGCUCCUCUCAUCCUCACUUUGUUUUGACCCAUAUAUUUCAACUGAAAGGCAGGCUUGUGAUUUUGGACCAGUAUUGUGUUUUUACGCAUAUGUCUAUUAAUGUGACAUACUAACAUCAAGCGUAUACUAUCCACCUGUUUCUCAAACGUGGAAGUAAGUGAUGUGACAUAUUUCCUCUCCGGUCCGAGACUUCCGUUUUAAUAGCCAGCCGGUAGAGGGGCGUGGUGGGAGCACGCAUAAAACAUGAUUUAAACAGUUAAUAUUUACUACACCUGCCAUGUAUGAACCAGUGUGACAAUGAAAUUAAGAAGUGACUUGAUAUAUGAAGAUGUAUUCAAUCAUUUCGUGUUGUUGAUCGGAGGUGACGGGUCUUUAAUGCGCAACUAUAAAAGCAGAGACAUACCGGUAUCUUUACAAUGGGAAAGUCAGUCGACACCCUCUGGUGUGAGUUUUUUUGUAAAAGGCAAUU